rnacentral:rRNA from 1 species
AUUGAACGCUGGCGGCAUGCCUUACACAUGCAAGUCGAACGGCAGCACGGGUGCUUGCACCUGGUGGCGAGUGGCGAACGGGUGAGUAAUACAUCGGAACGUACCUUAUCGUGGGGGAUAACGCAGCGAAAGCUGUGCUAAUACCGCAUACGCCCUGAGGGGGAAAGCGGGGGAUCGCAAGACCUCGCGCGAUUAGAGCGGCCGAUGCCUGAUUAGCUAGUUGGUGGGGUAAAAGCCCACCAAGGCGACGAUCAGUAGCUGGUCUGAGAGGACGAUCAGCCACACUGGGACUGAGACACGGCCCAGACUCCUACGGGAGGCAGCAGUGGGGAAUUUUGGACAAUGGGGGCAACCCUGAUCCAGCAAUACCGCGUGGGUGAAGAAGGCCUUCGGGUUGUAAAGCUCUUUUGUCAGGGAAGAAACACCGGCUCUAACACAGUCCGGGAAUGACGGUACCUGAAGAAUAAGCACCGGCUAACUACGUGCCAGCCGCCGCCGUAA